AAACGUAGGACGCGAACGUUAUCCGGAAUUACUGGGCGUAAAGGGCGCGCAGGCGGUUGUUCAAGUCGGGCAUGAAAGCUCCCUGGCUAAACCGGGAGAGGAUGUCCGGGACUGGACGACUAGAGUGCGAUAGAGGGGUGUAGAAUUCCGCGUGUAGUGGUGAAAUGCGUAGAGAUGCGGAGGAAUACCAGUGGCGAAGGCGGCACCCUGGAUCGUAACUGACGCUGAGGCGCGAAAGCAUGGGUAGCGAACGGGAUUAGAAACCCCAGUAGUCC
rnacentral:rRNA from 1 species